UUCUGAAUUCUCAUCAGCUAAAACACCAUGGAAGGGCUUCUUCAAGCUGGUUCUUCAUAUUUUUAUUACAAUAAAUCAAAAGCUCGGAGUGGUUGGAAGCUGGUCGGAGCAUCAUCACACUAUCCUUCGACUUAUUUUGGUAUAUGUAACAAACUAAAUUUUUGGUAUAAUGACAUGUAUAGGUUCAAUUGGGCCAUUGAUGACAAAUAUGUAUUUUGGUUAUAAAUGGCCAUUGGAAUGGCUUAAGUAGGACAUACUUAUGUUAUGUAUGAAUAUGUGUGGCUUCUUCA